rnacentral:rRNA from 1 species
UACAGAGGUCUCAACCGUUGUUCGGAUUCAUUGGGCGUAAAGGGUGCGUAGGCGGUCGCGUAAGUCAGGUGUGAAAUCCCGGGGCUCAACCCCGGAACUGCACUUGAUACUGCGUGGCUAGGGUACUGGAGAGGAGACUGGAAUUUACGGUGUAGCAGUGGAAUGCGUAGAUAUCGUAAGGAAGACCAGUGGCGAAGGCGAGUCUCUGGACAGUUACCGACGCUGAGGCACGAAGGCCAGGGGAGCAAACGGG